rnacentral:rRNA from 1 species
UGCGUCAAGAAAAGCCGCUAUUGUUUAUACCGUACCCGUACCGUAAACCGACACAGGUGGAUGAGGAGAGAAUCCUAAGGCCGGCGGAAGAAGCAUUGUCAAGGAACUCGGCAAAAUGGCCCCGUAACUUAGGGAUAAGGGGUGCCUGGGAAACCAGGCCGCAGAGAAUAGGCUCAAGCAACUGUUUAGCAAAAACACAGGUCUAUGCGAAACCGAAAGGUGAGGUAUAUGGGCUGACGCCUGCCCGGUGCUGAAGGUUAAGAGGAGAGGUUAGCGCAAGCGAAGCUUUGAAUUUAAGCCCCAGUAAACGGCGGCCGUAACAAUAACGGUCCUAAGGUAGCGAAAUUCCUUGUCGGGUAAGUUCCGACCCGCACGAAAGGCGUAAUGAUUUGAGCGCUGUCUCGACAAUGCAUCCGGUGAAAUUGAAGUACCCGUGAAGAUGCUGGUUACCUGCGCCAGGACGGAAAGACCCCAUGGAGCUUUACUCCAGUUUGGUACUGGGACUCGGUAUUGCAUGUACAGGAUAGGUGGGAGGCUGAGAGACAGUAACGCCAGUUAUUGUGGAGCCGCUGUUGGGAUACCACCCUUGCAGUAUUGGGUUUCUAACCAGCCGCCGUGACCCGGCGGUGGGACAAUGCCAGACGGGGAGUUUGACUGGGGCGGUCGCCUCCGAAAGGGUAUCGGAGGCGCCCAAAGGUUCCCUCAGAAUGGACGGAAACCAUUCGAAGAGUGCAAAGGCAGAAGGGAGCUUGACUGCGACACCGACGGGUGGAGCAGGUACGAAAGUAGGGCUUAGUGAUCCGGUGGUAUUAAGUGGGAACGCCAUCGCUCAACGGAUAAAAGCUACCCUGGGAUAACAGGCUUAUCACUCCCAAGAGUUCACAUCGACGGAGUGGUUUGGCACCUGAUGUCGGCUCAUCGCAUCCUGGGGCUGUAGUAGGUCCCAAGGGUUGGGCUGUUCGCCCAUUAAAGCGGUACGCGAGCUGGGUUCAGAACGUCGUGAGACAGUUCGGUCCCUAUCCGGCGUGGGCGUAGGAUAUCUGAGAGGGGCUGUCCUUAGUACGAGAGGACCGGGAUGGACGGGCCGCUGGUGCAUCGGUUAGACUGCCAAGUCUACGGCCGAGUAGCCAAGCCCGGAAGGGAUAAACGCUGAAGGCAUCUAAGCGUGAAGCCCCCCUUAAGAUGAGAUAUCCCAUUCGAAAGAAGUAAACCCCCUUGAAGACGACGAGGUAGAUAGGGCAGAGGUGGAAGUGUGGCAACACAUGGAGCUGACUGUUACUAAUCGGGUGAGGGCUUGACCUA